CGCCUCUUGUUAAUUCAUAAGAGGUCUCGCCUGCCCCGUGAUUUAAUUUAACGGCCGCGGUAUCUUAACCGUGCAAAGGUAGCAUAAUAAAUUGUCCUUUAAAUUAGGACUAGUAUGAACGGCACAACGAGGGUUUUACUGUCUCCCUCUUUUAAUCAAUGAAAUUGAUCUUCCCGUGAAGAAGCGGGAAUAAAACUAUAAGACGAGAAGACCCUAUGGAGCUUUAAACUUAAUAUCACUUAUUCUACUUAAUAACACAUUACAUAAUAAGAAUGCUUUUAUAGUUUUUGGUUGGGGCGACCCUGGAGAAUAAUAAAUCCUCCAGAUUGAAAAGAACAAUAAUCCUUAUACAAGAACUACAGUUCAAACAAACAAAAAUUUGACAAUACUGACCCAGAAUAAACUGACCAGUGAACCAAGUUACCCUAGGGAUAACAGCGCAAUCCAUUUUAAGAGCCCCUAUCGACAAAUGGGUUUACGACCUCGAUGUUGGAUCAGGGCACCCAAGCAGCGCAGCAGUUGCUAACGGUUCGUUUGUUCAACGAUUAAUAC
rnacentral:rRNA from 1 species